rnacentral:rRNA from 1 species
UGAACGCUGGCGGCGUGCCUCAUACAUGCACGUCGAGCGAACAGAUGCGGAGCUUGCUCCUCUGACGUUAGCGGCGGACGGGUGAGUAACACGUGGAUAACCUACCUAUAAGACUGGGAUAACUUCGGGAAACCGGAGCUAAUACCGGAUAAUAUAUUGAACCGCAUGGUUCAAUAGUGAAAGACGGUUUUGCUGUCACUUAUAGAUGGAUCCGCGCCGCAUUAGCUAGUUGGUAAGGUAACGGCUUACCAAGGCAACGAUGCGUAGCCGACCUGAGAGGGUGAUCGGCCACACUGGAACUGAGACACGGUCCAGACUCCUACGGGAGGCAGCAGUAGGGAAUCUUCCGCAAUGGGCGAAAGCCUGACGGAGCAACGCCGCGUGAGUGAUGAAGGUCUUCGGAUCGUAAAACUCUGUUAUUAGGGAAGAACAAAUGUGUAAGUAACUAUGCACGUCUUGACGGUACCUAAUCAGAAAGCCACGGCUAACUACGCG